UCACGUCAACAAAUAGGUGGUUGGGAAAAGGGGAAUAGAUGCUAGUGGGAAGAAAAAUAAAAUGAAUAAAUAAAAAUUGGGGUUUUUGGAAGGUGGUAACGAAAUAAAAAAAAACAAGGAUAGUUUAUGGGAAAACAAAGGGUGGAGAUUGUGAGAGAGGAGAGGGAAAUGAGAUAUAGGGAUGUAGAAAUAAAAAAAGAAAAAUC
rnacentral:lncRNA from 1 species